rnacentral:rRNA from 1 species
UACGUAGGGGCCGAGCGUUGUUCGGAAUCACUGGGCGUAAAGGGCGUGUAGGCGGUCAGGUAAGUGGGAUGUGAAAUGCCCCGGCUCACCCGGGGACCGGCAUCCCAUACUGCUUGGCUUGAGUACGGGAGAGGAUGUGGGAAUUCCUGGUGUAGCGGUGAAAUGCGUAGAUAUCAGGAGGAACACCGGUGGCGAAGGCGCACAUCUGGCCCGAUACUGACGCUGAGGCGCGAAAGCUAGGGGAGCAAACGGG